GGUUGUUUCUUCUCUGCUUUUGCAACACAAUCGUUCAGAUUUUCUUCCUCAAAUAUUACUCAACUUUUCUACAUUCCUUAAGCUUGCUAAUGGAAAUAAAAUUGGGUCUAUAAAGCCGCAACAGAUUUAUUGACCAACUACAAGAUACAACAACAUCUGA